UAAUAAAUGGUUUUUGUAUAAACAAACUUUUAAAUGGGAUUUCUCUCAAAUCCUAAUGGGAAAAGCACCACUCUGUCCAAACUGCUAUUCCUAAAGUACACCAUGUAGCAGUACAUGUAAUUUGGUAGUUGACAAUGGCCAAGAUUUUCAAAAGUGAUUUUGAUGUUUGGGUGUCCAACUCGAAACGUAUUAAAAGGGUUUGAUUUCUCAUAUUGCUGCUCUCCACCCUCUGAAAAAUCAGGGCUCUUUAAAGGUGUCUCAGCUUAAAUAUCCAGAACUGAGGCACCUGAAAUCACUAGUCACUCUCAAAAGCAUUUGUCAGUAUCUGUAAAUAUGUCCUUGGAGUUAUCAGGGUUCAAAAAAAUCCACUUUAAUUGUAAAUAGCAUACUAGUAUUGGUGAGUAGGGAGAAUUAAGCAGCUAGAAACCUCUCUAUAAUUUAAGCUUUUUAUUUAAAAACAAGUUUCUGGCAGUCUUCACACCCCAUAAGGAUCUCUUGAAUGUGGAUCAAAUAUCAACUGAUGCAGUGCUGUCUUUCUGAGCCUGCAUACAUUUUCUGUACCUCAGCUGCUUAACCUUUUUCCCCAAGUAGUAGCUGAGUGAAAUUGGCAAAAUUGAUCCAUAUCACUACUGCUAUUGGGAGUUCUUUAACCAGCACUGAAACUGACAAUCUUUGUUUUUCCUCCACUCUUAUGGAAAGCUGUCUGGAACAAAUACACUGAAACUAAUCAAAGGAGGGAACAUCAGAAACAGACUUGGGAGAGCAAAAGAGACUGACUAUAUGGUGAAGAGAAAGAAGUCCCUUUCCCUAGCCAUUAAGUGGGAGUAUUUAAAAUUGGUCAGAUGUUUUCAGAUUCUGGCUAGUAGGUUUUUGUAAUUGUAAAAGUUGCAACAGUUUAACUUAAAUCUGUUCACUUAUCCCAACGUCAGGCCCUCUGAUGAGCACAAUCCAGUUGUAAACAAAUUUAACUGUGUCCACACAGUUGGGAUUGUGUCAAUACAGGGAUGGAUGUUGGUUUAAGUAAAUAGAUUUUAAAAAACAAUUGUUAAAUCAUUGCAGAUCUUGUAUGUAGAUCAGGCCAAAUGAAGGGAAUUCACUCUGUGUUGGAAUACCCUCCCGCCUUUAAGCAGCUGGAAGUGGUAGGCUGGAUUUUUCACCAGGCUGUUACUGCUGAACCUUGCUGGUGACUGCACCCCACCACAACCACCUGGUCUGUUGUGUGGCCUUCAUCCAGGAAUUUUUCAAGCCUGUAUCUCAUGUUAGAUGGCAAGUGACUUCAGAGUUGUCUUUGGACACAGGAAUAUACAUAAGUGUUGUCUCACAACCUUGAAGUAUGGAAGUUGGGACUUUAUUUUGUUUGGUUUUUUUCCCCUUAAGAUACUGGAGUAUUUACUAACUGGCAAUAUUCAUGUUUACAUAUCUAGUAUGUAGGAAUUGUAUAGACUUACUUUCCUUGGUUGUAUAUUUUGACAACUUAAAAUGUUUCAGUAUCUUCUGUGGUGUCUGUGGGAAUUUUACUGUCUGUAUAUGUUGUGCACUGAUUAUCAGUGCACAUUUGUGGGUAAUGUUUUGCUGUUCUUUAAUGGGGCUAAAAGAUGUACACAUGAAGUAGAUAAACAUCACAUCCUGGCACUGGUUACAUCAGUGAGUAAACAAAUCAUUAACUUGAAGUUCCACAACAAAUACUGUCCUUCCAACUUUUUUCAAACUGGUUACAUGAGUAAUUUUUAAAAAUAGAUCCAGCUACACCUAGGGGAACCCAAAUUCAUUAUAGCUCUGCAUGACAGCAGCUGCUGUGUUGUCUCCCCCCCCCCACUUUAUCCAGUAGCUUACUACUAUAGGAAUGACAUUCCCCUUGCUUAUACAGACAGCUCAAGAGCAGACUAUGGUUCCAACAUUUAUCAUGGAAUCCUGCCUUUAAGUCGUCUUUGUUCUCCCCCCCCCAUGUCAUUCCUAACACUGUUUCCACUCUACAAAUGGCUUCUGUAGAGCACGUAUGUACACCACUUGUGAACUGCAUGAGGCUGCAAAUGUGAAUAACGUAGCUGAAGUCAACGUACUUAAAUCUACUCACCGCGGUGUCUUCGCUGCAGUGAGUCAACAGCUGAUGCUUCCCCAUCGACUCCACCUCUUGCUCUGGUAGAGUACUGGAGUGGAUGGGAGAGCGCUCAGCAGUUAAUUUAUCGUGUCUAGACUAGACACGAUAAAUCAACCCCUGCUGGAUUAAUCACUGCCCCUCGAUCCUGCAGGUAAUGUAGAGAAGCCCUUAGAACUUAAUGUACAAGGUAAGUAACUUCUCUUUCUUUGAGUAGUGUCCCUAUUGGUGCUCCACUCAGACUCCAGAGCAGCAUUCCUGGAAAGAGGAUCACGCUUCAGAGCUGGAUCUAAAACUGUUGAUAAGACUGCUUUGUCAACAGCAGCGUAUGGCUGCCUGGAGACAUAUACCAGAACAAAGUGUUUGGAAACUGUGAACUGAUGCUCAAGUUGCAGCUUUGCCAAUUUCUGCAUCUACUACACUUUUCAACUAUGUAUGUGUCUCCCAGACAGUGGAUGCACUGUGAAUGUCAGUUGCUAUCUGCAGUAGAUUCCAAGCAUGUGAGGCACUGCUUGAGUCCCAGGGACCCUGGUAUAGCACACUAAUGACAACCCCUGAGCAGAGUCUCUUAGGGGGUGGGUAGUGUGGGGGGGGAGAAAAAGAAAUGAGGUGUUUAAUGGAGGGGAAAACCCUAAAACAAAAUAGAGCUAUAAAGUAAAAGGAAACAAUGUAAACCUGAAGCAGGCAUGCUAGAUGCUCUGUUGCAGAACAAUUAAGUAAUGAAGGGUGGUGGUUUGCCCUCUUGAACACAGCUCUGUAUCGCCUCUGUAUGGACAUGAGGAAGUCAUGGGAUGAAGAGGCACUGUUACCAAAAAUCUCAGAUUAAAGGCGCAUGGAGGGCAUGCACAUCUGAAGUGGAGGCUACUCAGAGAAGUCAUGUUCUAAGGUUGAACAAUUGCAGCACAAAUGUUGAAAACUCCUCACUAUACAGGCAAAGGAAAAUAUCUUCCUUAUAGCAUCUUCAGAGUUCUGAUCAGCACCUUUCCAGAAGAUGAACAGCCUGACUAACUGAGGCUGUUUUAAUCUAGCAACAGUCACAGGUUUAUUAUUUUGAAUGACUUUUAAAAUUACUUGCAGAUAAAACCACUUGAAUUUGGACUAAGCUGUCUUCGUAGUGACAAAACCGUGCAUGAUUGGCACCAUCUUUCCUACUUGAGCUUUGACAGAUUUGGACAGAUUCUGAGGGAGUUGCAGGGUACAAGCCUACAGGUUGAGUCCAUAACUUGUCUAAUGAAGGAAAGUGGGAAUAUGCUUGGCUAUUGUUGAAGGGAAGGCAUUGAUCCACUUCAAGAAGGCUAGGAUGUUGCUUAAGAAAACUUCUUGUCAUUGUUCUCAGCUAUUACUCUGUCCAAAUCAUCUUUUUUAGUGAAUGUUGGUUAGAAGGUUGUGAUGGAACAGUUCUGGCAGAACCAUAAGUAAUGAUAUCCUUGACCCAAGUCUCUCUCUUUUUUUUUUUUUUUUUUUUGGAUAAACCCUGGGAAUAGUGGUGUGGUGGUUCCACUCCUAGUAGUGGAUUAAAAUUAGAUGUCAAUGCUACUUUUUCUGGAAAUGUCAGUUAACAGUAUUAAAGCCCAUAAAGUGUGUGUUUGCUGUUGGAGCCUACCAAUGGUAGACAGUUUUUGUUUUUAAGGGAGCAAGAGCCCCAAAGAUCAUGUGGAACAAAUUACUCCCCUACCUGGAUGACUAUUGUGCAUAAUUUUGUUAUUCCCCUUUUUAUUAAUCUAUGUAUAAAACCAGUAGGAGGCCUAGUGAGGAAGUAUGGGCUGUAGUGUCAAUCAUCCAAGAUAAGUUAUGCUUGUAUCGCUGUGGAAAGCAACAAGAAGAAAUGCCAGAGAUCUGUACAGUAAAUUUUUUAAAAGGAUGUUGAAAAAUUGAGUUAAAAAAACUAAAAGGUUUCAGGUCUUGAAAACAUGUCCUUCAGUGAGAGACUGAGGUCCUUCAGUCUAUUAACCUUCUCUCUAAUAAAUCAGAUAUCAAAUUUGUAGAUUAAGUCCAGAAAGGAUCAUUAAAUCAUCUAGCCCAGCGGUUCUCAAACUGUGGGUCAGGACCCCAUUUUAAUACGAUCGCCAGGCUGCAUUAGACUUACUGGGGUUUGGGGCUGAAGCUGAAAUCUGAGCCCCAGUGCUGAAGCCCUCAAGCUGUGGCGCCCCGUCCGGGUGACAGGGCUUUGGCCCUGGGUGGUGGGGCUUGGGCUUUGGUCCCCCUUCCCAGGGUCCCCAUAAUAAUUUUGGUUGUCAGAAGGGGGUCGCAUGCAAUGAAGUUUGAGGAAACCCUGAAGUAGUCUGACCUCUUGUGUAACGCAGGCCACAGAAUUUCACCCAGUUACUCCUGUAUUGAGCUCAGUAAUGUGUCACUAAAGCAUAUUUUCAGGAGAAGCAUCCAGUCUUUAUUUGAAGACCUAUACAGGGAGAAGAUCCUGAUGGCUAGAGAGCACAUUAAUCUUAGGUAGUCAUAAGAAGAUCCAAUGGCUGGAUCAGAUGGGGAAAUAAGAUGUAAGCUUUCUAACAGCAAGCAUAAUAUUGGAAUAGAUUAUCAGGUGUGGUAGGUCCUCCUCACUUGAACUCUUCACAUCAAAGUUUGACAUCUAUCUUUUUAAAACAAAACAAAACUAUAGCUCCUCAAAAGUUAAGCUCAGUGGAGGAAUUAUUGGGUGGAAUUCUAUUCACUGUGUUUAUGCAGGAGAUCAGGUUAGAUUAGGAGGUUAACAAAUGGGGGUCACGAGUACAUGCAUGAAGCAGAGAGCAACUACUUUAUAUAGUUCUAGUGUUUUGGAAAAUUACACACACCCUACAUUGCAGUGGAAAGGUAUUUACUUCAGAAAGUAUUGUAAACAUAAUGCAGAAAUCUUUGUUUCUAAUCACAAUAUAUAUUUGUAUUAUCACCACGUUAAGGAAAUUGGGCUCUGGGGAUUGUAAUAUCGUGCAUGCAGGUUUGUCAUCUUGAGGCUAAAAAGGUGGGACAACAGAGGGCUUGAUUAUUCAGCUGCUGAAAAGCUGCACUAAACUAGACCAAUCAAAACACUGAGAUCAGCGCCCCCCCCCCCCCCCCCCAAGUGUGUCUGACUGUUAAAUUACAAAUUAUAGUGUGGUACUGGGGGGGAGAAGGAGGCUUGUGGCCUAAAGCCCCCCCCAAAAUUUGCUGUACCCCCUCCUCCAACGCAAAGGCCAAGCAUUAUGCAGAAGUAAAGGUGGCAUGAUACGGCAUUGCCACCCUUACUUGUGCAGUUCUGCGCUGCUGUUGGUGGCAGCACUGUCUUCAGAGUUCGGCGACCAGCCAGCAGUCGCCACUCUCCAGCUGCCCAGCUCUUGAGCAGCACCUGCCACCACCAGCAGCACAGAAGUAAGAGUUGCAAUAGGGCACUAGCAAGUCUGCUGUGAAAAGUGAUAUUUGUAUGUUUGUUAAUACCACUUUUCACAGCCUCCCAGUUAGCUAGCAAGUCUGCUCUGAAGUCUGUGCUAAUGUCUGGUGUAAAAAGUGAUACACAGUUUAAGUUUAAAAAAAAAAAAAAAAACUUUUCUGCCUGUAAAAAUGGUUCUUAAAGUUAAGUGGCGAGAAAAGGUAAAUUCAUUUUAACAUUUAAAAUAGUGUUUAAAUAAGCGUUUAAUUUAUAUGGGGGUGGGGUGUCUCUGAGAGGGGUUGCCAAUCCAAAAAGUUUGAGAACCAUUGAGUUAGAUUAUGUUGGCUGCUAUUAGCCUUAAAAUCUGUAAACCCUCCUCAGAGGGUAUUUGUGCCAUUUGCCUAGAAGAUAAGGUGCUGCUCUGGGAAGCAGGUUUUGUUCCCAGUUCUGCCACUGACUUGCUGUGAGCGCUUGGGUAACCUGUUACCCCUACCACCCAUUUGUCUAUCAUGUCUGUUUAGACUGUAAACUCUUAAUGACAAGGAUUCUUAACUGUUUGUACUGUGCUUAGGACAAUUGGGCCUUGAUAUCUGUUGAAGCUUUUAAGUACCACUGUAAUACAAAUACUUGAUGCAUGAACAGAAUCCAGCUAAUUUUUUCUAGCUUUGCUCUGUAUUAACAGGGGCAACAAGUACACCAGACCCGUGCUAGAGCGCGCAUCUGUAUAGCACGAGUUUGCAUAUAACGCGGUCGUGGCCAUGGAUCCCAAAUUUAAUUCCUUUAAUUGUAAUGCAUUUUAACGCGGUCCCCACUAGAAUGCGGUACCGCACAUGGAUCCCAAAUCCUGUGUUCUAGCAAGGUUCCGGUGUAGUAACUUUUGUCACACAAGCAAGCAAAUACAGACUGCUAUUACACAAAAGAAAUCUGUUCAAUAAGAAUGUGGCAUUUUUAGUCAUACUUCUGAGUAAAACUGCACUUUGACAGUUACUAGGAAACUGGCUUAAUCUUCCUAGCCUUUAAACCAUCAAUUUUCAUGAAAAAGUGCUGUUAGUUAACACCUAUUAAAUGUGCUGUUCUGUCUCAAGUUUAACGUUUCAGGAAGUAGCAUUUCACUGCAGCUCCUGCUGCAGAUGUGUUCUCUGGGGUUAUGAAUAGAUGCUGUUAUAGGAACAUAUGUCAAAGGCAGGAGUUAAAGCACAGUAAAUAACCUCAGUGCAGGAUUUUCACUCCUGGAUAUUGUGCCUUCCUGGCUCUUCAGAUUUUUGCUCCUCUGUGGUACCUGUAGGCUGGCUGUAUGGCAGGGCUUUUCCCUGCUCAGAACAUUCCAACCCCAGGUACCUCAGAGGCUUGAACAUUUUGAGGUAGUUCUUUUUUGACUGGUCAAGAAAGGAACUUCCUCUGUGAGCUGUCUGAUGACAUAUGAAGGUUAAUUGUGUGCAGUAAAAGGUUCCCUUGAGUCUGUUUACACCCCCCAAGCACGUGGCGUGCAAUGAAAACUGCAAGGCUUUUUGAUAAGUAGAUUCCACUUAUUAGCACCUCAGUUGCCAGUAAAAAGUUAUUUGGCAGUUGCUAGUAAGUGGAAGGCAGGUUUCUGAGUCAGUAGCCAAGGAAGGAAACAAAGGGCUGCAGCCUGGGAGGGCAUGCUCCCAGAAAAUCCGUUUACAGGCAGGGUGACAGCAGAGGGAGGCUGCAGCCCACAUGCCAGGCUUUCUGUGGGGAGCAAGGGGACUGGGAACCAAUGGGGCUACACUGUACCUCCCCCUGUGCUCUCUGGGCUUGGGGAUAAGCACAUCCACAGCCUCUUGAAAAAUUAGGCUGGAGCAAGCUCAGCAUUCAGACUUCGAGUUAAACUACUGGUGUGCUAGAGGCACCUCCUGCUGCCGCCGCACCCCCCCCCCCCCCCCCGCCCAGUCUUAAGAGCUAAGGGAAUUUCCUAAAUGUGUAGAGGGCACAAGAUCCAAGAAUGAAUCCUGUAUGGUAUUUGCAGAGUAAUAAUAAUGUAAGUUUGUUCUUGAAAAUUGAUAUUUAAGCGUCAGAACUUAGUAGAAAUUCCAAAGGAAAAUCUUGAAGAA